UAGCUACCCCGCGGACUACACUUUGUCCUAUCACUGUUUUUUUCACAUUUUCCGGACUAUCCCGGACUACCCUUUUUCUGUCCCGGACAGUCCGCGCAAGAAACAGAGUGCAGUUUUGAAGACACCAACACAUUCACACGUAUGUGUCAAAAUCAAAAAAAAAUGUGUCAAAAUGGGUUUGCUUUGAUUAUCGUUCUUCGCGUGUCUAACAGCAGGUUGAAUUUUAUUUUGUUAUUUUGUCAUUUUUCAGUAAAUUGGCAAAUUUUUCGUACAGCAGCACAAACGCGAUAAAAGACAAUGGCGAUAAUGACCAAAACAAAAGUGACAGCUACCUCUGGUAUUAUACGCACACCAUUGCAACUGCUCGGAAAGUGUUUUUUUAAGCUGCAAAGCGUAGUCCGGGACGGGAUAGUCCUGCCGUAAAAACGAAUUCGACAUUAGUUUCAUCUUUGCGGGACUCUUGUUAUAAACAUACACGCUGCUUUAUUUUAACUCUAAUUUGAUUAGGAUCUACUGUUCGGUAUUCUUAUGCAAAAUGUCAAAAAGUGAGUUAUCGGGUACUGGAUAAUUGAGUAACAUUUACUCAAAUUUUCAUAAUUACCAUGUUUACUCAGUUUUGAGUUAUUAUCCAUGAUGUUUACUCACCCCUGAGUAUAUGUAUAUGUCAAAAGUUUUCAACAGCGAUAUUAUCUGUUUCCGAAGAACAAUUGGUGUCGCUUUUUAUUCGUUUGCUAGCACUCAACAUCAUCAUUGCAGAGGAUUUGAAAACAUAAAAAACAUCUCUUCAAAAUGAACAACCGCAUGUUGUGUGUCCUGCGAUGCCGUUUUAAGUCAGGCUUUUAUUCGUGAUAAUGAACGGAAACAUUUGUAUCGAUGUACAGUGCCCAAAACAUGCAAUCGAUACAAUUUAAAUCCUUCGCAGUGUUAGGUGACGGAUGAUGACGGAAUUUCUGGUGUGCGUACUGUACAAAAACAUGAGCCACAGUCCACGUGCAACUGUGAACCGGUUGGUUGCCGCAUUAUAUAAAGACACGUGAAUGAUUUAAAACUUUUAUAAUGUUUCGAUGAAAAAUAAAUCUGUUUUGAUUGUUCUGAA